GACGAACGCUGGCGGCGUGCCUAAUACAUGCAAGUUGAGCGCUGAAGGUUGGUACUUGUACCAACUGGAUGAGCAGCGAACGGGUGAGUAACGCGUGGGGAAUCUGCCUUUGAGCGGGGGACAACAUUUGGAAACGAAUGCUAAUACCGCAUAAAAACUUUAAACACAAGUUUUAAGUUUGAAAGAUGCAAUUGCAUCACUCAAAGAUGAUCCCGCGUUGUAUUAGCUAGUUGGUGAGGUAAAGGCUCACCAAGGCGAUGAUACAUAGCCGACCUGAGAGGGUGAUCGGCCACAUUGGGACUGAGACACGGCCCAAACUCCUACGGGAGGCAGCAGUAGGGAAUCUUCGGCAAUGGACGAAAGUCUGACCGAGCAACGCCGCGUGAGUGAAGAAGGUUUUCGGAUCGUAAAACUCUGUUGGUAGAGAAGAACGUUGGUGAGAGUGGAAAGCUCAUCAAGCGACGGUAACUUCCCAGAAAGGGACGGCUAACUACGUG
rnacentral:rRNA from 1 species